rnacentral:rRNA from 1 species
UUUUAAAUUUAGAGUUUGAUCCUGGCUCAGGACGAACGCUGGCGGCGUGCUUAACACAUGCAAGUCGAGCGAUGAAGCUUCCUUCGGGAAGUGGAUUAGCGGCGGACGGGUGAGUAACACGUGGGUAACCUGCCUCAAAGUGGGGGAUAGCCUUCCGAAAGGAAGAUUAAUACCGCAUAAUAUGAGAGAAUCGCAUGAUUUUCUUAUCAAAGAUUUAUUGCUUUGAGAUGGACCCGCGGCGCAUUAGCUAGUUGGUAAGGUAACGGCUUACCAAGGCAACGAUGCGUAGCCGACCUGAGAGGGUGAUCGGCCACAUUGGAACUGAGACACGGUCCAGACUCCUACGGGAGGCAGCAGUGGGGAAUAUUGCGCAAUGGGGGAAACCCUGACGCAGCAACGCCGCGUGGGUGAUGAAGGUCUUCGGAUUGUAAAGCCCUGUUUUCUAGGACGAUAAUGACGGUACUAGAGGAGGAAGCCACGGCUAACUACGUGCCAGCAGCCGCGGUAAUACGUAGGUGGCGAGCGUUGUCCGGAUUUACUGGGCGUAAAGGGUGCGUAGGCGGAUGUUUAAGUGGGAUGUGAAAUCCCCGGGCUUAACCUGGGGGCUGCAUUCCAAACUGGAUAUCUAGAGUGCAGGAGAGGAAAGCGGAAUUCCUAGUGUAGCGGUGAAAUGCGUAGAGAUUAGGAAGAACACCAGUGGCGAAGGCGGCUUUCUGGACUGUAACUGACGCUGAGGCACGAAAGCGUGGGUAGCAAACAGGAUUAGAUACCCUGGUAGUCCACGCCGUAAACGAUGGAUACUAGGUGUAGGGGGUAUCAACUCCCCCUGUGCCGCAGUUAACACAAUAAGUAUCCCGCCUGGGGAGUACGGUCGCAAGAUUAAAACUCAAAGGAAUUGACGGGGGCCCGCACAAGCAGCGGAGCAUGUGGUUUAAUUCGAAGCAACGCGAAGAACCUUACCUGGACUUGACAUCCCUUGCAUAGCCUAGAGAUAGGUGAAGCCCUUCGGGGCAAGGAGACAGGUGGUGCAUGGUUGUCGUCAGCUCGUGUCGUGAGAUGUUAGGUUAAGUCCUGCAACGAGCGCAACCCUUGUUAUUAGUUGCUACCAUUAAGUUGAGCACUCUAAUGAGACUGCCUGGGUAACCAGGAGGAAGGUGGGGAUGACGUCAAAUCAUCAUGCCCCUUAUGUCCAGGGCUACACACGUGCUACAAUGGUAGGUACAAUAAGACGCAAGACCGUGAGGUGGAGCAAAACUUAUAAAACCUAUCUCAGUUCGGAUUGUAGGCUGCAACUCGCCUACAUGAAGCUGGAGUUGCUAGUAAUCGCGAAUCAGAAUGUCGCGGUGAAUACGUUCCCGGGCCUUGUACACACCGCCCGUCACACCAUGAGAGCUGGUAACACCCGAAGUCCGUGAGGUAACCGUAAGGAACCAGCGGCCGAAGGUGGGAUUAGUGAUUGGGGUGAAGUCGUAACAAGGUAGCCGUAGGAGAACCUGCGGCUGGAUCACCUCCUUUCUA